AUGGCCUGGACCCCUCUCCUGCUCCCCCUCCUCACUCUCUGCACAGGUUCUGUGUCCUCCUUCAAGCUGACUCAGGAACCUGCAGUGUCUGUGGCCUUGGGACAGACGGCCAGGAUCAGCUGCCAGACAGACGGUAUACUAGGUAGCUUUGUACCAACAAAGUGGUACCAGCAGAAGCCAGGCCAGGCCCCUGUGCUGGUCAUCUACAGUAACAGCAACCGGCCCUCAGGGAUCCCUGAGCGAUUCUCUGGCUCCACAUCACGGAACACGGCCACCCUGAGCAUCAGCGGGGCCCAGGCCGGGGACGAGGCUGACUAUUACUGUCAGUCAUCGGGCAUUAGUGCUGCCCCAGGCUCAGCCCCCACAGCACCAGGGGUCAGCCUGGCCCCGACCUUCAGCUCAGCACAGGGGAUGCUGCAGGGUUCUGUGGCCUCCUCUGAGCUGACUCAGGUGCCUGCAGUGUCUGCGGCCUUGGCACAGACAGCCAGGAUCACCUGCCAGGCAGAGACCUUAGACAACAACUAUGCACACUGGUACCAGCAGAAGCCAGGCCAGGCCCCUGAGCUGGUCAUCUGUGAGGAUAGCAACGGCCCUCAAGGAUCCCUGAGUGAUUCUCUGGCUCGAGCUCAAGAGGAACAACUACCCUGA